AAGGAGCUAAACUUCUCUGGAAAUGCAUUUUGUUCUUAGAGGCAAAAGGGCAAUCUACACAAUCAGAUUCGUCACAUUGCCCCAAAGGUCCAGAAAUCCUCAAGUGCUCAUUCUUUGUAGCAUGCCUACCAUCAGAAUAGACACUUGAUGCAAUCUCUUCAGGCAUGACUGCAUUUGCCUGCCUCACCAGCUUUCCUGGGAAAGGUGAUGUUACCUUAUGUGGCACAAAAGCAACUUGAGUAGGUGUAUGAACGAUCAGAGGACCAAUAUUGGAUCUCAACAAGUCUUCAUAUGUGUCAGCUAUGACAGGUAUACACAUUGGUGCAGGGGCGGAUCUGGGCCCCAGGCCCUCAGGGCCCAGGCCCGGGGCGUGGUUUUUUUUUAGUUAUUACCUAGCCAUGUUUUUUGAAUGGGCCCGGGGCUUAGCCCAAAACACAACCAGGGCCCAGGCUGUCCAUCUUCACAGCGCAGCCCAGCUCGCCCCCGAUGCCCAGACCUAGUCACGCCCCGACUCCCCUGCUCGCCUGCGCCCUCCGCCGCUCCCCGCUCGUGAUGGCCGCCGGUGACUCCGCCGUUCGCCCGCGGCCCUGCGCCCUCCGCCGCUCGUGACGGCCGCCGGUGCGACCUCCGCCGCUCGUCCACCUGGCCUGCUCCGCUGCUCGCCCCGUCGCCCGUCCUCUGCUCCCCUGCUGCCCUGCUCCGCCGCUCGCGCAGCCCAGCUCACCGCCUCGCCCGCUCUGCUGGUUCCUGCUCUCCGCCACGCGCAGCCCAGCUCGCCGCCUCGCCCGCUCUGCCAGCUCCUGCUCUCUGCUGCCCAGGAUUGGUGUUGGCUCUUCUUCCACCGUUGAUUAAGUUAUGGAAGACACUGAUGAAGCAAGCCAUUGAUUUGGUAUUCUUUUUACUGCACGUAUUGUUCGUAGCUUUUGUCAUCUUUUUUAUCAAUUUUGUUGUGUCUCUAAGCAUUGAGUUUAAAUUCUAAAUUUUUGGUGCAAUUGAGUCAUAUUUGAGGUA